AAACUGUUAACUAUCUCUGUGUCAGAUUCAUCAGCCUGUGCAGACUGUGUUGGAAGGUGGGAGGGGUAGCCUCCUGGAUCACUCUUGCCAUCUUUAUUAUACAAAACAUGGAACAAAAAGAGCAGAUGGACUGCCAGGAAGAAGGUGGAAGCAUCACUGAGGAAACAGCCUGGAAAGCCAUUUCUGUGAAGGCAUUUGAACAUGAAGAUGGGAAGAAGAGAACCGACUCUACUUUUUGAGAUGGAACUUGAGAAGCAAGUCUUACUAUUUGCAAAGUUGUGUGAUGGAGGUCAUUCACAAGGAUGGCAUGGGGGAGUUUAAAUCUCUUGGAAUUUGACUACACAGCACAUUCCAGCUAUCUGCCCCAGCAGGCCCCUCUAUCAGGACUUGCUGAUUACUACUUAUGCAUUGUUUCAAAGUGAGCCCUUGAAGGCUUUCAUUUAAUACAGAUUAGUACCUUUAUUAAACAGUGGUUAAUUGAA